rnacentral:rRNA from 1 species
GCAUAUCAAAUAGCGGAGGAAAAGAAACCAACAGGGAUUGCCCCAGUAACGGCGAGUGAAGCGGCAACAGCUCAAAUUUGAAAUCUGGCCCCCAGGGUCCGAGUUGUAAUUUGCAGAGGAUGAUUUUGGCGAGGUGCCUUCCGAGUUCCCUGGAACGGGACGCCACAGAGGGUGAGAGCCCCGUCUGGUUGGACGCCGAGCCUAUGUAAAUCUCCUUCGACGAGUCGAGUAGUUUGGGAAUGCUGCUCUAAAUGGGAGGUAUAUGUCUUCUAAAGCUAAAUAUUGGCCAGAGACCGAUAGCGCACAAGUAGAGUGAUCGAAAGAUGAAAAGCACUUUGAAAAGAGGGUUAAAUAGUACGUGAAAUUGUUGAAAGGGAAGCGCUCAUGACCAGACUUGGGCCCGGUGAAUCAUCCAGCGUUCUCGCUGGUGCACUUUGCCGGGCUCAGGCCAGCAUCAGUUUGCCCCGGGGGAUAAAGGCUUUGGGAAUGUGGCUCCUCCGGGAGUGUUAUAGCCCAUUGCAUAAUAUCCUGGGGCGGACUGAGGUUCGCGCAUCUGCAAGGAUGCUGGCGUAAUGGUCAUCAGCGACCCGUCUUGAAACACGGACC